rnacentral:rRNA from 1 species
GACGAACGCUGGCGGCGUGCUUAACACAUGCAAGUCGAACGGAAAGGCCCUGCUUUUGUGGGGUGCUCGAGUGGCGAACGGGUGAGUAACACGUGAGUAACCUGCCCUUGACUUUGGGAUAACUUCAGGAAACUGGGGCUAAUACCGGAUAGGAGCUCCUGCUGCAUGGUGGGGGUUGGAAAGUUUCGGCGGUUGGGGAUGGACUCGCGGCUUAUCAGCUUGUUGGUGGGGUAGUGGCUUACCAAGGCUUUGACGGGUAGCCGGCCUGAGAGGGUGACCGGCCACCUGGGGACUGAGAUACGGACCAGACUCCUACGGGAGGCAGCAGUCGGGAAUCUUGCACAAUGGGCGGAAGCCUGAUGCAGCAACGCCGCGUGCGGGAUGACGGCCUUCGGGUUGUAAACCGCUUUCGCCUGUGACGAAGCGUGAGUGACGGUAAUGAGUAAAGAAGCACCGGCUAACUACGUG